rnacentral:lncRNA from 10 species
CGCAGUGGCUCAUACCUGUAAUCCUAACAUUUUGGGAGUCCGAGGCAGAAGGAUCGUUUAAGGCCAGGAGUUUGAGACCAGCCUAGGCAACAAAGUGAGACUUUGUCUCUACAAAAAAAAAAAAAUUUAAAUUAUAAAAAAAAACUGAUAAGAGGGCAGGGGGAGAUGGGUUUCUAGGCAGGGAAAUAGGAUAUGACAAACUAAGAAAAACUCAGCUUGUCCUAAGCAUAAAAUUAAAGGGGGGAAGAGGUAGCUAAUCUGGGAUCAGGUUUUAAAGGCUCCCAAGUCUUGUAAGAGACACGGACAUUAUCCUCAAAGCAGUGGGGAGCUUAUUUAAGAAAGUGAAAAGAGGCUGAUCUUGAACUCCCGACCUCAGGUGAUCCACCCGCCUCGACCUCCGAAAGUGCUGGGAUUACAGGCAUGAGCCACCACGCCCAGCCCAAAUGGUGUUUUAAAGGUCAUCAUGUCUCCUGGGUUCCCUAACAAACACAGUCCAGCUUUUUCCUGGCAUUACCUGGACCACCUGAUGCCAUGCCACCU